UCCAUAGAGUAUAAACAACAACACAACCUACCCUUUCUAUUAAAAGUCAUUAAACAUAUCAGUUCUGGGCUGGCCACAGGCCCAAUGCCCCAUAAGCCAAAUUGUCGCCCAUUCUAUCUAUACCAAUGCGUGAGCGGCAAAAAGAUAGUACUAUGACUGUGAUAUAAACACCGUGUUCGAAUUGUUCAAUGACCGAUGUUUCUCCUUCUUGCACAAUCCUGUGUGAGUCAGCUGAUCUGGAACUAGUUUCCGAGCUUGGUGGAGACACUCCUGUACUAGAUAAAUAUGAGCUGUUGCUUUCGUGCUGAACGUUUCCUCCAUCUACAGAUGGAACAGCCUCAGAAACUUCGCCAUUUCCUUUGAUUCUUUGCAGGUUUGAAGAUUCGCUAUCUGAUUCUGAUAUAUCAGGCGCGCUUUGUUGCUCAGACUCAAAGCUCGGUUGGAAGGGAGAUUCAAAUUCUACGUUGUCUUUCAGCAUACAUUGAGCUUGAGCAUUGAUCUCUUUCAAGGUUUCACAUCCAGGAUUCUCUGGUGGCAACUUUUCAGUCACUUCCGUCAACUAAACAAGAACAAAUGAAGAAGCAAAUUUAGCUAUUUAGUAUGAAUGACCAGAAAUCCUCAUCAACAGACUUUCAAUUUCCCAUUAGGCUCAAGCAUUAAGCUUAUUUCAUACAAUAGAGCCUUAGUUGAUUAAACAUCUUAAUUAAGCACUUAUAAUUCAAGUGUUUAUCAUAUAGCUUAUAGGUACUUAUGUAUAAACUAUUUCUAUAACAAAAGAUAAGAUAAAGUCAAAUUUCUUUCA